rnacentral:rRNA from 1 species
GAUGAACGCUGACAGAAUGCUUAACACAUGCAAGUCCACUUGAAUUUGGGUUUUUAACUUAGGUUUGGGUGGCGGACGGGUGAGUAACGCGUAAAGAACUUGCCUCACAGCUAGGGACAACAUUUGGAAACGAAUGCUAAUACCUAAUAUUAUGAUAAUAGGGCAUCCUAUAAUUAUGAAAGCUAUAAGCGCUGUGAGAGAGCUUUGCGUCCCAUUAGCUAGUUGGAGAGGUAACGGCUCACCAAGGCGAUGAUGGGUAGCCGGCCUGAGAGGGUGAUCGGCCACAAGGGGACUGAGACACGGCCCUUACUCCUACGGGAGGCAACAGUGGGGAAUAUUGGACAAUGGACCGAGAGUCUGAUCCAGCAAUUCUGUGUGCACGAUGAAGUUUUUCGGAAUGUAAAGUGCUUUCAGUUGGGAAGAAACAAAUGACGGUACCAACAGAAGAAGUGACGGCUAAAUACGUG